rnacentral:rRNA from 1 species
CCUACGGGAGGCAGCAGUGAGGAAUAUUGGUCAAUGGACGAGAGUCUGAACCAGCCAAGUAGCGUGAAGGAUGACUGCCCUAUGGGUUGUAAACUUCUUUUAUAUGGGAAUAAAAUGUUCCACGUGUGGGAUUUUGUAUGUACCAUAUGAAUAAGGAUCGGCUAACUCCGUGCCAGCAGCCGCGGUAAUACGGAGGAUCCGACCGUUAUCCGGAUUUAUUGGGUUUAAAGGGAGCGUAGGUGGAUUGUUAAGUCAGUUGUGAAAGUUUGCGGCUCAACCGUAAAAUUGCAGUUGAAACUGGCAGUCUUGAGUACAGUAGAGGUGGGCGGAAUUCGUGGUGUAGCGGUGAAAUGCUUAGAUAUCACGAAGAACUCCGAUUGCGAAGGCAGUUCACUGGACUGCAACUGACACUGAGGCUCGAAAGUGUGGGUAUCAAACAGGAUUAGAUACCCGAGUAGUC